rnacentral:rRNA from 1 species
UACGUAGGGUGCGAGCGUUAAUCGGAAUUACUGGGCGUAAAGCCUGCGCAGGCGGUUUUGUAAGCCAGAUGUGAAAUCCCCGGGCUUAACCUGGGAAUGGCAUUUGGGACUGCAAGGCUUGAGUGCGGCAGAGGAGACUGGAAUUCCUGGUGUAGCAGUGAAAUGCGUAGAUAUCAGGAGGAAUACCGAUGGCGAAGGCAGGUCUCUGGGCUGACACUGACGCUCAUGCACGAAAGCGUGGGGAGCAAACAGG